rnacentral:rRNA from 1 species
GAUGAACGCUAGCGGGAGGCUUAAUACAUGCAAGUCGAGGGGUAACAGGGAACUUCGGUUCCGCUGACGACCGGCGCACGGGUGCGUAACGCGUACACAAUCUACCUAUUGGAGGGGGAUAGCCUUUGGAAACGAAGAUUAAUACCCCAUAGUAUCUUAAAGUCGCAUGGCUUAAAGAUUAAAGAAUUUCGCCAAUAGAUGAGUGUGCGUCCUAUUAGCUAGUUGGUAAGGUAACGGCUUACCAAGGCUACGAUAGGUAGGGGGCGUGAGAGCGUGACCCCCCACACGGGCACUGAGACACGGGCCCGACUCCUACGGGAGGCAGCAGUAAGGAAUAUUGGACAAUGGGCGCAAGCCUGAUCCAGCCAUCCCGCGUGCAGGAUGACUGCCCUAUGGGUUGUAAACUGCUUUUAUUAGGGAAGAAACCUUCUAACGUGUUAGAAGCUGACGGUACCUAAAGAAUAAGCACCGGCUAACUCCG